GAUGAACGCUGGCGGCGUGCCUAAUACAUGCAAGUCGAGCGAACAGACGCGGAGCUUGCUCCUCUGACGUUAGCGGCGGACGGGUGAGUCACACGUGGAUAACCUACCUAUCAGACUGGGAUAACUUCGGGAAACCGGCGCUAAUACCGGAUAAUAUAUUGAACCGCAUGGUUCAAUAGUGAAAGACGGUUUUGCUGUCACUUCUAGAUGGAUCCGCGCCGCAUUAGCUAGUUGGUAAGGUCACGGCUUACCAAGGCAACGAUGCGUAGCCGACCUGAGAGGGUGGUCGGCCACACUGGAACUGAGACACGGUCCAGACUCCUACGGGAGGCAGCAGUAGGGAAUCGUCCGCAAUGGGCGAAAGCUUGACGGAGCAACGCCGCGUGAGUGAUGAAGGUCUUCGGAUCGUAAAACUCUGUUAUUAGGGAAGAACAAAUGUGGAAGUAACUAUGCACGUCUUGACGGUACCUAAUCAGAAAGCCACGGCUAACUACGUG
rnacentral:rRNA from 1 species